GCCAAAUCAAAAUAAGUGCUGUAAGAAGAUAAUUUAGGCUAGCAGCCUCAAGUUGGAGAUUACAGUUCACUGAGAAAAUCUUCAGCAGGGUCCGAUCUUCUUUUGCUAAAUCUAGGUUGAGCCUAAGUACGUCCCCAGACUGAAACAAA